rnacentral:rRNA from 1 species
UACGAGCGGAGGGCGUAGGGCGGGUUCGCGACGUGGCGGCGGCAGGGCAUGCUCGACCUCGGGGGGCGGCGGCGGCGGCUCCCGUACGGCGGGCGGUUCGCGGCGGCCCUCGCGCAGGACGGGAGCGCCAAGUCCCUGAGCCGGCAGGAGGACGGCGGCGGGCGGUUCUUCCGGACGUUCCGGGGGCGCGGCGGGUUCCAGCUCCUGUCCCUGCCGGUCCACAUGCUCCACCUCCACGCGCGGCAGCCGGGCUUUCCGAGGCGGAAACCCCGGCACGUCUGGCUCCACACCUGGCCGCUCGGGCGCGUCUGCCUCCUCCUCGACAUGGCCCGUACGGCCUUGUAGUCGUCCUCGCCGUCAAGCCCGACAAAGUCACCUUCGCAACAGUGAAGGCACUCGUUACGACCACUCUUUACGCGCGGCCUCUUCUGCGGGCACCACCCGCGACACCAGGGCAGGUGCUCGUUACGACCAUGACCUUUACAGCCCGACCUCCCCUCCAGGGGCCACCACCUCACGUUCGGUUUCGUCCUCCGGCUCCAGUCCUCUCUCCUAAAGAUGACCGGUCUCCUAAAACACGAGCCCCUGCACCACACCCGUUCCAGCCCCUUCUUCUCGGGGCGCACCGGCCGCAAUCACUAGUUGGGCGACGUCGUGCGGGGCCUCCAACACGAGUUGAGAACGCAGGGGCCGCGCGAGACGCAGUACAAGAAGCCAAUGAGACGGCCGCCGGUUUUGUCCCUGAUACCUACCCAGUUCGUUCCCUACUAGAAAGGGAAACACCUCAUGGAUCUAUCCAAGGUCCCUGUUAGAGAGGUAUUCGAAUUCGAGUUCGGUUCGUUUAAGGCACGUCGUUAACUCCUCCGAAAGGAACGGCUCGCGCCGAAAAAACUCGAGGUUUACCUGCCCCAGACGAGAGACCUGUUCAGACACUUACUCGUCAGACAGUGGCUACCGCGUGCACUUCACUGACCAAGAUUAUUGCUCGUCCUCACAGUUAGAGUAAGAGUCCAACAGCAAUUUAAUCGUCGUACAACGCUAUCGACGCCAUUAGCAGAAGGUAGGUUCUAAAGUUUCUUUUUCUUCGUUCUUUGUCUCGUCAAUGAAACAUCCGUGACACUUUUCGAUAACGUCAGUUUCGUUAUGACACCGUAUACGUUCUUUUAAACCGUAGUGUGUCUACCGCCUUUGACCCAUACGACACUACUCACGGUCUAAACCCAAGUACAUCUUACGCUGGCCUGUACGUCACUGGACCUCCUAAAUCUUUUAUGGCUCAUAAAGACAGGACUAACAUUCAGAUUUGCGUUCUCUCAUUACUUUCAACUUGUUUGCUCGUGGAGGUUAUCAAGUCUUAAACGGUCGUGAAGUUUCCUUUUCAACGGACUUAGGUAUGGACACACGACGAGACCCUACCUUCGUAACAUGAACGGUCUUUUCGUGUACUAUAAUACACUUACGUCCAGAACGUUCUUUUUCUACUACUGAGACUUACUCACCCUCUCCGUAUGACCGAGUUCCUUCUUUUUAACCUUCUACUCAUAAUUUGAGUUCCCGUGACCCCUCGGUGAUUAACUGAACGAAGUACUAUAAGGCCCACCUUUAAAGUUCAGAAGAUGGGGUCCGUAAUUCUUUCUUCUCAACGAAAGUAAUGUUCGUUUGAGAAUGUCAGGUCAGAUACGAUUUACCUGUUGACUUGCAACACGACAGACAGCCACCCAACUCCUAACCCUGAUGUUGUUUUAAUAGUAAACAUUGUCUACAGUUUAUCGACAGGUAGUUCUCACGAUACCUCGAGCACAGCAUGUCCUAAAUUGAUUAACCCAAACAGCUCGAACACUUGACGGGGUUGUUUUUUUCCUCACGACGGAUACGGGACAUUUUCCACCACGAGAGUUCGGUUGACUAUAACUGGUUGACACCCAAGUACAGUACACACGGACCAUAGUCGGAUUUCAGAGGAAAGGACAACUGCUCUGUUACCUCGGUCGACACCCGUAUAACUCGUAGGGAAGACUCAUGAAAUUCUUCUGUACAUAGUAUACGUUCGUCUACGUACCCCGGACGUGGGUCACGAUGUUCACAAGAUGAAUAAUAGUACGUUGUACACGUAGUUCUCGACCUAUAGCGUACCUCAACGUUAUGAGACUCUCUUUACCAUCCUUCCACUGAUUUUACCAGAGGAUGACACGCAAAGUGUCAUGAGGACUGGGUCUAUUACACAACUAUCACUUCUGUGGUCUACCUCACAAGAGGUGGUUUAAAAACGAGGUUUUGUUACUCUUUGUUAGAGGACGUUCUGAUCGAUUCUCACUUUUAGUGGUCCUCCAAAAAGGACGACUUCAAAGACUAACGGGUCGACGUUCCACGGAUGGAAUACUUUAGAACUUUUUGUUCUUUGUUGUUCCUCUCCGUCAACGGGUAGCUUAUUACCCUGGGGCUGUGGUGAGAGUUCUAAACUAACUCCGAAACUUGUGUAUGUACGUCCUGGUCUUCCCGCUGGCUGGAAAACGAUGCAAGUUUCUUUCCGAAGUUAUAAAUGUCUCUUGACUUUUAUUCUCCCAGAGAACACCAGCUAGACCUCAUGUACCUACCCCCGAGAAACGACAAUCCUUUUAAGUUCUCCCCGUUUACCACUAGCUUAUAGCACCCCUGGUUCAGUCUGCAUCACAACGACUAAACUCCCUUCGUGCUAUAGUGUUCCUUUUAUUUCUGACGAUGGACAAGUUUUAUUCACUUCUACAACACUAACUACGAUGCCUCUCUCCUUUGUAGCGGGCGUAUUAAUUGGUGAGCACGUACGGAUUGACGAUGCGCUCCUAGCACUCGCAGCCGCUGUUGUUCUCGGUCUAUUAAGACUAACGGUCUUCUCUACAGAGUCGGCCUCUUCUUAACUGCAUACUGAUGUUUAAACUGGGCCUGCUCAGCCUCCUAGCGUUCCAAGGGACGGACACAUUUCGGGGAUUGACGGCACCUAUGUACUUGACUUUAAAGACUGUUCCUGAUUGGUUGGGGUUAAUGUCACCGCUUCGCGGUGUGUGUAAGUAGGUCUAAGAAAGUAGCAGAACACGUACCGGCGGUCGUACGUUGGUCGAAUCGAACACAAAAAAAUCAGUGUCCUAAAACGAUCGAUCGCUCCAUCCCGAAAUGGUCCGAUCCGUUCUUUUUCUUCGUAUUUGACCGCAGGUGUCGGUCCGUAACAUUUAAGAAGUAACGACGUUAUUUAACUACUAAAGAGAACACUUGUUUUCUUUUCUUUUCUUUUCUUUUCUUUUCCUUAGGUUUUCCUUUCUUCUACAGGUUAACACAACUACGUUAUAUAUAAAGCACACUGCAGAGUCUACGACUCCUCUCGAAUUAAUACAACACAAUGACGACGACAAGGAACCACAUGCGCGACAAAGACCAAAGUCUUCUAUCCUACGCACACCACGACGAAGGCGGGGGCGCCGUACGGAAGCAGGGCCUCUACCCCGGUGAUAGGAAGCCACCGGUCUUACAGUCGCUGGGCAGGCGGAGGGGGCGCCCAGCUGAGCUUCGUCGCACUUGGCAUCGCAGAGACGAGGCGGUCAUGGCGGAGGGUGCGGGCGGCGGCGCGGCACCAGGUGCCGCGAGCGGUAACGAGCGAACGGUGCUGCUCCGUCAGCCAGCCACCAGCUCCUCUCUCCUAAAAUUUUUCGCCCGCUCCUUCUACGUGAAUGAGCAGCACGGGUGUACGACGACGAAGGGGUGGUGAAGCAGGCGCGGCGUUGGUGGUAGCGAGGGCGCCGUCGACAGAGCGUCGGAGCCGGUGAGGCGCAGCGGCGCGAAGCCGGAGGGGAAGGCGGCCCGGCGCCACGGGGGGCGGUACGCGGCGGCGCCCGCUGCCUCCCGCCGCCGGGGAGGAGGCCGGCGGCGGCGUAGUCUCCGGAGGUCGCUGAGGGGACCGGGAGGUCCUCCGCUCCUGUUCUCUCGACCAUGUCUGGAGUUUUGCGAUCGAUCUUCUAAAACCUUUCAGCGGCGGGGAAUGACCACCAGUCUCCUGUUCCAGGUUCGUUCCGAAGUCGAACGACCACAUAAACGAGAGUGCAACCGCUGAUGUCCCUAAUCACAACCUAAGUUGAAAGACCCAGCACUAAAGAUGUUGCGGGAACGGCUGUUCCUGGUCCUUGUUAAAUGGUUCGUUGACGACAUGAUGAACCCUCCAAAGCGACAUCCUCAAGGCAAGAAACAGAACUCCCUGAUACGUUCUCUUUGGGAGAGAAAUUCUACCGCUAGAACCUACUGCUCAAUAAUGUACUUCGCGAUGAAAUUCUUGUCUUGUAAGAUGUUCUAAGUCAGAGUUAGUGAUUAUCUGUUAGGUCUGGUCGCCUAGUUACUACUGGAUUCACGUAAGUGACCUUGACGCGAACGCAAAAGGGACUGUGAAGAGUUACGACAGCACCUAAACCAUAGUAAGUCGUUAUAGGAAAUACCCUAGAUAGGUGGUAAUAAGUAACAAGAAUAACAAAUAAGAGAACCUCCCUGGCGAUAAUCACAGAAGGAACCAUUCUCAAACCAGUUGAACUUGAAGUACGUUCUUUUCUUUCUUCGCCUAAAGGCAAUGCCCGAACAGGCACAAUCUCUUUUGCGACUUAGUUAACGAAAAAUGCCACCACUCCUUUUACUUGACGUUGAAGACAACCUAGCCAAGUCCUCCCGAAUGCUUUUGGAUUCACUUAAUGACUAUCGUAGGGCCUUAGACCUCAAGAAGUGGUUACCAAUGGCUAUAAAUUAAGUUUAGGACGGUCGACGUCAACAACGAGGUUACAAGAAACGUCCUUUUUAGCUCAAACCUCAUUAUUUGGUUAGCCACAGACGAAAGUUAGUGUAGGAGUCACUAAAAAGAGAGUAACAAAAGGUCAAAGUCAGUUAAUCACGUAAGAGUCGACAGUAACUAGCAAAUCCACUUAAACUACUAGAUAACCCACUUUUACUCAGAAGAGAUAGUGGGGUUGCACUAUCGUAACUACCCUAGUUGUAGAGAAAGUUCUCGCCGUCAGGAAGACAAGAAUCAAGAUUACCUAGUGUUUACGUUAGACUCGGUCCGUAUCAAGAUCUCUAAACACUAAACUGUAACAAUUGUGGAUCCCCACCUUUAUAAGAAUAGUGACUGAAGUCAUACCUUAAUUUUCUGUUCCUGGUGGAUGACCACUACCCUGGGUCGCCGACGCCCUUCUGGAGUAACGAGGCACGAAACCGACCGGAAACCUGAUCACCGUGACCCUUAUAGUAUAUGGUACGGUCUCUAAGAUCCGUCGAAGUCUGUCGUUUAAAUCCAAGAUUACUCGGUAGGUUGUAUUUCGGCCUCCCACUUCUUGAUAACGUUUCAAGGUUCGUCUCUUCUCUAUUACCGUAUAAAAAACAGGGUGUUUCUGGUAUAUACCAAAACCCAUGAGAAGCAGUCGUUAACGAGAUAGGAUGUACCUGACGUCUAUGCGUAGUCAGUGGUUGAUUACUGCGAGUCUGUUUUCGAGGAGAAAGGAAAGACAGACUUCAGAGGUGCAGUCUACCCAACCCACGGUUCGGACUCUACGGGAGUUGACUACUUGACUAGUCUCAUGAACUCCAACAAUCCGACCCGAUGUAUAACGGUGCAAAGUUACCGUAACUAAGACAGGUACUAACCCGGUCACAAGAAAGCGAUCCCCUCGUCGUCGCAGAACGUAAGCGAGCCAAUAAUGAGCGUUUUGGUUGAGACCAGGAUGACCUGCUCAGGUGUUCACGUGAUCUACUGUAUUUGCUCCAAGUAGAUAUGUCAGUCUAACUUCGACGUCCCUAGUGUAUAUAUUCACAGCCAGUGGCCUCUUGUGAAGUGUCCAAGGUGUUGUUCCAAAACAUGUAAAGUUUCAGACUAAACUGUUGACCGUCGGGAGCAUUGACCCUCGAUUUCGGGUGUCUAGUCUUUAGUUAACUUCUUAGUAGGGGUAAGUGUAGUAUUCUUGAAGUCGUACGCUUGGUCAAAUCCGGGGAAAGAGUUAAAAGAAUAGGGUGUAAAUUGGGCGAUACCAUUUAUAACUAAGGGAUGGUUCCUAGGGUACCGGUGUUCAAGCAGCAAUGUUGAAUGUUUGACUUCGACCUUACAACUGCUCCAAUUAGAAUGUCGACCUGACCGUUUUAACACCGUCACGAUGAUUGGUUGGACAAUCGUCCUAUGUGAAAUCCUGGACCUUUUUAGAGUGGAAAAACAAAUACAAAUACGAAACUAUCAAAUCUUACUUGAUAUCGUAUACAAAUACAUACCAACUAUAACGUGACGACAAUGGUUUUGUAAAAGUAAAAAUAGACUCAAAAGAGACGACUAAAUAAAGUGCGAACUGUCAACAUUAAAAACAAAGUAACAACCAAAUAGAACAACAAGACG